AAGUCGAGCGAACUGACGAGGAGCUUGCUCCUUUGACGUUAGCGGCGGACGGGUGAGUAACACGUGGGUAACCUACCUAUAAGACUGGAAUAACUCCGGGAAACCGGGGCUAAUGCCGGAUAACAUAUCGAACCGCAUGGUUCGAUAGUGAAAGACGGUCUUGCUGUCACUUAUAGAUGGACCCGCGCCGUAUUAGCUAGUUGGUGAGGUAACGGCUCACCAAGGCAACGAUACGUAGCCGACCUGAGAGGGUGAUCGGCCACACUGGAACUGAGACACGGUCCAGACUCCUACGGGAGGCAGCAGUAGGGAAUCUUCCGCAAUGGGCGAAAGCCUGACGGAGCAACGCCGCGUGAGUGAUGAAGGUCUUCGGAUCGUAAAGCUCUGUUGUUAGGGAAGAACAAAUGUGUAAGUAACUGUGCACAUCUUGACGGUACCUAACCAGAAAGCCACGGCUAACUACGUGCCAGCAGCCGCGGUAAUACGUAGGUGGCAAGCGUUAUCCGGAAUUAUUGGGCGUAAAGCGCGCGUAGGCGGUUUUUUAAGUCUGAUGUGAAAGCCCACGGCUCAACCGUGGAGGGUCAUUGGAAACUGGAAAACUUGAGUGCAGAAGAGGAAAGUGGAAAUUCCAUGUGUAGCGGUGAAAUGCGCAGAGAUAUGGGAGGAACACCAGUGGCGAAAGGCGGCUUUCUGGUCUGUAACUGACGCUGAUGUGCGAAAGCGUGGGGAUCAACAGGAUUAGAUACCCUGGUAGUCCACGCCGUAAACGAUGA
rnacentral:rRNA from 1 species